AGUAGGGAAUCUUCCACAAUGGAGGAAAGUCUGAUGGAGCAACGCCGCGUGAGUGAUGAAGGUUUUCGGAUCGUAAAACUCUGUUGUUAAAGAAGAACAAGUGUUAGAGUAACUGUUAACACUUUGACGGUAUUUAACCAGAAAGCCACGGCUAACUACGUGCCAGCAGCCGCGGUAAUACGUAGGUGGCAAGCGUUGUCCGGAUUUAUUGGGCGUAAAGCGAGCGCAGGCGGUUUUGUAAGUCUGCUGUGAAAGCCCUCAGCUCAACUGAGGAAGUGCAGUGGAAACUACAAAACUUGAGUACAGAAGAGGAAAGUGGAACUCCAUGUGUAGCGGUGAAAUGCGUAGAUAUAUGGAAGAACACCAGUGGCGAAGGCGGCUUUCUGGUCUGUUACUGACGCUGAGGCUCGAAAGCAUGGGUAGCGAACAGGAUUAGAUACCCUGGUAGUCCAUGCCGUAAACGAUGAAUACUAGGUGUUGGAGGGUUUCCGCCCUUCAGUGCCGCAGCUAACGCAUUAAGUAUUCCGCCUGGGGAGUACGACCGCAAGGUUGAAACUCAAAGGAAUUGACGGGGGCCCGCACAAGUGGUGGAGCAUGUGGUUUAAUUCGAUGCUACGCGAAGAACCUUACCAGCUCUUGACAUCUUCUGCCAACCCAAGAGAUUGGGCGUUCCCUUCGGGGACAGAAUGACAGGUGGUGCAUGGUUGUCGUCAGCUCGUGUCGUGAGAUGUUGGGUUAAGUCCCGCAACGAGCGCAACCCUUAUUAUUAGUUGCCAGCAUUUAGUUGGGCACUCUAGUGAGACUGCCGGUGAUAAACCGGAGGAAGGUGGGGACGACGUCAAAUCAUCAUGCCCCUUAUGAGCUGGGCUACACACGUGCUACAAUGGAUGGUACAACGAGUCGCGAAACCGCGAGGUCAAGCUAAUCUCUUAAAGCCAUUCUCAGUUCGGAUUGCAGGCUGCAACUCGCCUGCAUGAAGUUGGAAUCACUAGUAAUCGUGGAUCAGCAUGCCACGGUGAAUACGUUCCCGGGCCUUGUACACACCGCGCGUCACACCAUGAGAGUUUGUAACACCCCAAAGACGAUGGGGUAACCUUUAGGAGCUAGUCGUCUAACGUGGGACGCAUGAUAAAGGUGGAGGCCAACAGGGUUACCGUAAU
rnacentral:rRNA from 2 species